UCGUGCUAGGCGGGGAGCCAGCGGUGCCCUGUACCCGCAAUCCGCUACAGCGGGGCUUAAUUC
rnacentral:SRP_RNA from 1 species